rnacentral:rRNA from 1 species
AACGAACGCUGGCGGCAGACUUAACACAUGCAAGUCGAACGGGUGCAGCAAUGCACCAGUGGCAGACGGGUGAGUAACACGUGGGAACCUUCCUAGGGGUACGGAACAACUCAGGGAAACUUGAGCUAAUACCGUAUACGUCCGUGAGGAGAAAGAUUUAUCGCCCUUAGACGGGCCCGCGUCGGAUUAGCUAGUUGGUGGGGUAACGGCCUACCAAGGCGACGAUCCGUAGCUGAUCUUAGAGGAUGAUCAGCCACACUGGGACUGAGACACGGCCCAGACUCCUACGGGAGGCAGCAGUGGGGAAUCUUGGACAAUGGGCGCAAGCCUGAUCCAGCCAUGCCGCGUGAGUGAAGAAGGUCUUCGGAUUGUAAAGCUCUUUUGCCAGGGACGAUAAUGACGGUACCUGGAGAAUAAGCCCCGGCAAACUUCGUGCCAGCAGCCGCAGUAACAC